rnacentral:lncRNA from 1 species
AUCGUUUAUGAGAUAUGGUGCGACAUGUAAAAAAAACCUCCCCCUUUUUUACAAAAUACUUAAUAACUCAAAAAUAAAAUUUUAAAUCAUCACCAAAAAGUAUACAGAUAUUAAGAUUAAUAUAACUAAGAAGUGUUUAAAGUUUUAAGCCAUAAUCAAGAAUCGUUUUUGAGAUACGGUGCGACAUGUGAAAAAAACACACCCCUGUUUUAGUUACAAAGUGCCGUAACUUAAAAAGUUUAAAUCUUAUUUUCACCAAAAAGUAUACAGAUCAUUUGACCAUCAUAAGAAACAACUAUGUUAAGUUUCAUGAAAUUUGGAUAAGUCGUUCUCAAGUUACGGUGCGACAUGUUUACGCCGGACAGACAGACGGACAGACGGACAGACGGACAGACGGACGGACGGACACAGGACAUUUGUAUACCAUAAUACGUCCCGUCAAAAUUUUGACGGGCGUAUAAAAAUAAGGAGA